AUUGAACGCUGGCGGCAUGCUUUACACAUGCAAGUCGGGCGGCAGCGCGGGGGCAACCCUGGCGGCGAGCGGCGAACGGGUGAGGAACACAUCGGAACGUGCCCCGGAGUGGGGAUAACGCCGCGAAAGCGGCGCUAAUACCGCAUAUGCUCUGAGGAGGAAAGCGGGGGACCAGCAAUGGCCUCGCGCUCUGGGAGCGGCCGAUGUCCGAUUAGCUAGNGGUUGGGGUAAUGGCCCACCAAGGCGACGAUCGGUAGCUGGUCUGAGAGGAUGAUCAGCCACACUGGGACUGAGACACGGCCCAGACUCCUACGGGAGGCAGCAGUGGGGAAUUUUGGACAAUGGGGGCAACCCUGAUCCAGCCAUGCCGCGU
rnacentral:rRNA from 1 species